rnacentral:rRNA from 1 species
AUUGAACGCUGGCGGCAUGCUUUACACAUGCAAGUCGAACGGUAACAGGGUGCUUGCACCGCUGACGAGUGGCGAACGGGUGAGUAAUGCGUCGGAACGUGCCGAGUAGUGGGGGAUAACGCAGCGAAAGUUGUGCUAAUACCGCAUACGUACUGAGGUAGAAAGUGGGGGACCUUCGGGCCUCACGCUAUUCGAGCGGCCGACGUCUGAUUAGCUAGUAGGUGAGGUAGAGGCUCACCUAGGCGACGAUCAGUAGCGGGUCUGAGAGGAUGAUCCGCCACACUGGGACUGAGACACGGCCCAGACUCCUACGGGAGGCAGCAGUGGGGAAUUUUGGACAAUGGGCGAAAGCCUGAUCCAGCCAUGCCGCGUGUCUGAAGAAGGCCUUCGGGUUGUAAAGGACUUUUGUCAGAGAGGAAAUCCCUAGUGCUAAUAACACUGGGGGAUGACAGUACCUGAAGAAUAAGCACCGGCUAACUACGUGCCAGCCGCCGCCGUAAAAC